UGCUGGGAAAGAUUGAAGGCGGGAGGAGAAGGGGACAAUAGAGGAUGAGAUGGUUGGAUGGCAUCGGUGACUCAAUGGACCCCAUGACUCAAUGGACAUGAGUUUGAGCAAGCUCUGGGGGUUGGUGAUAGACAGGAAACCUGGCAUGCUGCAGUCCAUGGGGUCACAAAGAGUCGGACAUGACUGAGCGACUGAACUGACUGAACUGAUGGAGUGGAGGUGUCCCCUCUGACCUUUCUACCCCUCUUUUGUUCUUCAACAGAAAGAUUCCACAAAGGCAGCUGGGAAGAUUACACAAAGCAGAGUUGACUUGAGUUUCCAGUCUGGCAUCUGUGCUUCCCAAACAGUCAUCCUUAUGUCAUCUGGUCCUCUGCCCUUUUGAAACCAGAUCUCAGCCAACAGAGUUCAGUAUGGAACCGCUCGACAAGCCUGAAUCAUCAGUUUCUCGCCUCUGCAGUCUUAGGAUCUGCUGGGUUGAAGGCCCUCGUUUCCAGGGCUGAUGAAGUAGCGCUUUGUAAAGGGCUGCAGCAGUGGGCCCAGUAGACUUGAAGCUGUGACUCCUGCUUGGACACUUUGGAAUCCUCGUGGUGUUGCACCAGUCAUCCUAAUUUCGGUGAGCUUUAUCAUAUGUCCCAGUGAGGAUCUGGAAUUAUCACUACCCCAAUAGGGAUAUAAAGAAGUGGGUCUAAAAUGCAAGAAACUCACCAAGUCAUCUUUUGAUGCCUUCAAACCCAGUGAUAAUCACACGUUGAAAAUCAUAGCAAUCGUAA
rnacentral:lncRNA from 1 species